AGAUAGAGGUGCGGGUUUCAUCAGUACGAAAAAGCGCAAGUCCCGGAAAGACUGCUUUUAAGGAAAGGGAAGGCCGCCGAAGAGAAAGGGGAUUUCCGGGCCCUGUUUUUCUGGGACGCAGUCAGAAGAUGCUGCGGACUGUCACAUUUGUGGAGCGCUAUCAG
rnacentral:ncRNA from 1 species